rnacentral:rRNA from 1 species
UACAGAGGUCUCAAGCGUUGUUCGGAUUCAUUGGGCGUAAAGGGGUGCGUAGGUGGCGCCGUAAGUCGGGUGUGAAAUUUCGGAGCUUAACUCCGAAACUGCAUUCGAUACUGCGGUGCUUGAGGACUGGAGAGGAGACUGGAAUUCAUGGUGUAGCAGUGAAAUGCGUAGAGAUCAUGAGGAAGACCAGUGGCGAAGGCGGGUCUCUGGACAGUUCCUGACGCUGAGGCACGAAGGUCAGGGGAGCAAACGGG